GUAAGGCGGGGCGGGGCCGAGAGGGUGCCAAGGCCGAGAAGAGAGGCGCGCAAGACAAGAAAUGUUAUAACUGGGUCUCGAUCUGGAUGCUUGUCCUGCCUCCUGAAUAUUUCUCCUAUCGAAAACUCAACCUAAAUCAGUAGUGCAACCUCCGCGGAGCAGCCGGUGCAUUCCCAAAGCACGCGAAGACCGCAAGCCCUUCAGCUGUAGACUUCCCUGAAGGCUGGAAAGAAGAUUCUCCAUGCAUCGUCCGACUUGUGAUUCUGUGAUUGUAUUUUUCACAUCCCAGUGAGAGACUUUAUUUUGGGGGGCUCCAAAAUCACUGCAGAUGGUGACUGCAGCCAUGAAAUUAAAAUACACUUGCUCUUUGAAAGAAAAGCUAUGACCAACCUAGACAGCAUAUUAAGAGGGACAUUACCAACAAAGGUCUGUCUAGUCAAAGCUGUGGUUUUUCCAGUAGUCAUGUAUGGAUGUGAGAGUUGGACUAUAAAGAAAGCUGAGCGCCAAAGAAUUGAUGCUUCUGCACUGUGGUGUUGGAAAAGACCCUUGAGAGUCUGUUGGACUGCAAGGAGAUCUAACCAGUCCAUCCUAAAGGAAAUCAGUUCUGAAUAUUCAUUGGAAGGACUGAUGCUGAAACUCCAAUACUUUGGCCACCUGAUGCAAAGAACCGACUCAUUGGAAAAGACCCUGAUGCUGGGAAAGAUUGAAGACAGGAGGAGAAGGGGACGACAGAGGAUAAGAUGGUUGGAUGGCAUCACCGAUGGGAUGGAUAUGAGUAUGAGUAGGCUCUGGUAAUUGGUGAUGGACAGGGAAGCGUGGCAUGCUGCAAUCCAUGGGGUCGCAAAGAGUUGGACACGACUGAGGGACUGAACUGAUUUUUCACAUCACUUCUCCCAGAAACCACCUAAGAGACUGGAUUCCUGAGCACAGAGCCGAGUUUGAAAUGAACCCCUCCUGAUUCUGCCAGACCAGCAGUUAAAGCUACACUUGUGUUGUUUAAUUACCCCCGUUUCUUGCUUCAAAAGGAAGAGAAAUCAAAUUUGAAAGAUGGUGACAACUGAGCCCAAGGCCAAGAGUGUCCUUCUCCACCCCUUCUAACUGCUGGUUUCUUCUUAUGCCUCAGGUCUCUGCUUAAAUAUCACCUCCUGGGAGUUCCCUUUUGGUCCAGUGGCUAAGACUCUGUGCUCUCAAUGCAAGGGGCCUGAGUUUGAUCCCUAGUCAGGGAACUAGGUCCCACAUGCUGCCACUAAAAGAUCCCCCAUGCAGCAACUAAGACCCAGCAUAGCCCCCCCCCCAAAAAAGUUUAGAAAAAAAAAACCUCGGAAAGGUCUUCCCUGAACAGUCACCUUAAAGAUAUUCUCUAGUUUGCCAAACUAGGCCUCUUGUUCAUGUCUUUCAUGGCAUUUCUUAGUCUUGUCAUUUAUUGAUCAGUUUAUGUGGUUUUGCCCAUGUUCUGCACUGGAAGGUAAGUUCCAUGAGGUCAGGAAUCUUAGACUGUUGUGUAUAUCACUGUGUCACUAGAUCUAGUGCAUAAACCCAGUGUUCAUAAAACACUUGAGGGAAUGAAUGAGUCAAUCAAAAACCAGUUAAUGAAUCUGGUCCCUGCCAGCCUCCUCUGCUAUGUUUCUGGCUGCUCCCUGGUGCCUCACCUCCCUUUCUGUGUACUAGCCUUACCAUGUUUGUUUGACUAGACCACAGUCUCUUAGCUCUCUCUGAUAUAGCACAUUCUCUACUUGAAUUGCUCUUUCCCUUCUGCCUAGAUGCCUCCUGUUCAACACUCAACUCAUGGAGGACCUCCUCUGAGAGGUCUUCUCUGACCAUCCCCCACCAGGAAAGUUGAAGCACUCACCCCUUCCUGUUCACGGCCUCAAUUAUAAAACUUCUCUAUGCUGGUGACAUCAUCUUCCCUCCUGGCAUCCUGCUGGCACUGAGGAUUAUGAUCAUGGCCUAUAAAAUCCUGUGCGAUCUGCCUCCUACUCUUCAGACCUUAUCCCCUAUUGUAUUCCUCUUACGUCAUCUCACUCUACUCCAGCCACAUGGCCUCCAUCCUGUUCUCUGGCCAUGCCAAACAUACUGCUGACCUUAGGGCCUUUGCACUGGCUCUUGUGUCUGCCUCAAAUGCUCUCUUCCCAGAUAUUGGCAUGGCUCGCUCCUCCUUCAGGUCUCUGCUCAAAUGUCACUUUCUUAGGGAAGCCUGAGGAAAUGACCCACAUUUAAAAUAGCAGCACUCCACUCCUCUGCACUUCCUCACACCCUUUCUUAGUGAAUUUUUCUCCAUUGCAGUUAUCACAACAUGAAAUAUUACAUUUAUUGUGUCUCCUACCCCCUACCUUUCACUGCAGUGUGAUCGCCACAAGGAUUUUGUCUGUUUUGUUCAUUCCCCAGAACCUAAAACAGUAGGUCCUCAUUUAACAUUAGUUGAAUGCAUGGUUAUGAAUUCAACAAAGAAAUGCUAGGAGUACUCUGCGUCAUCCAGAAGAAUCCCUGAAGAUUAGAGUAUAAAGGGAGACGUUUCUGAGGAAAUAUACUGGCAACACUAGCUAACACGGAGCAUUUACUAGUUGCCAGGCAAUCUGCUAAGUGCUUUUCAAGCUUGUUCCCACAACAGCCCUAUAUUCAGUUCCAUUCAGUCGCUCAGUCCUACUCUUUGCGACCCCAUGGACUGCAGCACACCAAUUUUCCCUGUCCAUCACCAGCUCCUGGAGCCUACUCAAACUAAUGUCCAUGGCGUCAGUGAUGCCAUCCAACCAUCUCAUCCUCUGUCGGCCCCUUCUCCCACCUUUAAUCUUUUCCAGCAUCAGGGUCUUUUCUGAAGAGUUGGUUCUUUGCAUCAGGUGGCCAAAGUAUUGGGGUUUCAGUUUCAGCAUCAGUCCUUCCUAUGAGGUAGUUACUAUUAUAAUCCCUAUUGUACAGAAACUGGCGAAGAGGUUAACUUUCCCAAGGUCAUACAGUUAAUAAGUGGUGGAGUCCAACUUUAGAGCCUGCAUGCUGAGUCACUAUACUGCCUACCUUCUGAUUAUUAAAGAUCAACCACUAUUGGUCUAAUAAGGGUGAAGCGUGAAGAUGAGAUAUCCUUUUCUGAACAGUGUGGUGCCUAGAGUUGUGGCAGAAUUUUUUCUUAGCCACUAUAUUAGGGUUCUCCAAAGAAACAGAACCAAUAGGAUAUGUUGAGAUAUAUAGAAGAAGAGAUUUAUUACAGGAAUUGGUUCACAGUUAUGUGGGCUUGAGAAGUCCCGUGAUCUGCCAUCUGCAAGCUAGAGAACCAGGAAAGUCAAUGGUAUGAUUCAGUGCAAGUCCAGAAGCCCAAGAGCCAGGAGCACCAAUGUCCAGUGUCCUGGGCAAGAGAAAAUGGAUGUCUCAGCUCAAGCAGAGGAGCAAAUUCAUCCUUUCAUCUUUCUGUUCUAUUCAGGCUUCAACAGAUUGUAAGAUGCCCACCCACAUUGCCCUUCUUUACUUAGCCUACCAAUUCAAAUGCUAAUCUCUUCCAGAAACACCCUCACAGUCACACCCAGAAAUGUUUUACCAGCUAUCUGGGCAUAAUUUAGCCCAUCAUUUAAGUUAAAAAUUAACCAUCACAGGGACUUCCCUGGUGGUCCACUGGUUAAGACAUCACCUUCCAAUAUAGGAGGUGUGGAUUUGAUCCCUGGCCGGGGAACCCAUAAGACCCCACCUGUCUUGCAUCCAAAAAACAGAAGCAAUGUUUUAACAAAUUCAGUAAAGACUUUUUUUUUUUUUUUAGUUUUUUAAAAAAAUUAACCGUCACAACCACCAUGAGAGAAGCCAGAUAGAGAACAAAACCCAACACACAGAAGAGGGCAGGAUGAAGAAAAUGUUGCUGGAAAAACUGAACCAGAGACCUGAUAAAGACAUACCCGAAGCCUGACAUACCUCUGGACUUUUCUGUGCACCAGUGUAUCUUUAGAGGUUGAAUAAUUUGAGUAGGAAUUUUUUUUUUUUUUCUUACAACAAAAAAAGAUUUCCUAAUGGAAGCAAAUGAGUAGGGUUCAACAGGUGGAGGUAUUAAUGUCUCACAUUUUUAUGAGAUAUUUGUUUACAGAAUGCUGGAGGGUAUUCCAGACAGAGGGAAAAGCAAGUAUGCAGGCAGGAAUGUAAGAGCUUGAGGUUUCUGCAGCACAAGGUAUAAACUGAGUUAGAUUUCCCUGGUGGUCCAGUGGGUGAGACUAUGAACUCCCAAUGCAGGGGGCGCGGGUUCACUGCCUGGUCAGGGAACUAGAUCCCAUGCCACAACUAAAGGUUCCAUAGGCCUCAAGUAAGACCUAGUGCAGCCAAAUACAUAAAUUUUUAAAAAGAAGUAAGGUAGAACUAGUAUCUGGAAGAACUGAUUUCUCCACUCAACUUUGUAGGCAGUGGGAAUAAUUGAAAGCUUCUGAGCAGAAGUUGCUUUAAAAUGGUGACGUGUCAAGGUUGGAAGAACUUUUGGAAGCAAUCUGAUUUGACUCUAGGUUCUGUGUUUGUCCCCAUCUCACAAACAUGUGAGAAAAUGUGGCAGGCCGAUGUCUCAUAGAUGGUAGGUGAAGGAACAAAGAUUUGAACGUAGGGUCAUCUGAGCCCCAACUCAUGCUGUCAGUGAUCUCCUGUCUCCACCAUUGGAAUUAAUUUCUGCCCUCUGAGCUCACCCAGAAUGGGCGAAUCCUUUUUCAGAGAUUUGACAGUGACAUUGGUAGAGCUACCCAGAUCUGAAUUAGGAAGAUGGAUUCAAGGGGAGGGAAGAGUAGAGGGACUCCGCCUUUGUGGGAGACAAAGGAAAAGGCAGAUGAGGAAAGCAGGCGAAUGAAGAGGAGGGAGCAGAUGACAGAGAAGUGAUGAGAAUCAGCAGGACCUGGAGAAGGAACAGAUGGCGAUGGAGGGAUGAAAGAAGGAAGAAAUUAAGGCAGACACAGGCUUGUGUUUAGAACAGAGGUUGCCAGAUCAGAUACCUACAGGGCCAGGCGAGUACCAUAAAUAAGCAAAGUGAUCAGGUUUAAGAUAAUGGGGAGUCAUGGAGUCUAGCAAGCCUAGAGUUCAUGCCCCUUCUAAAGGAGGUACCUACAACUCAUGUGGGAGUAUAAGCUCCCAGUGUGGGCAGUUGCCAGGUAUGAGGAGAAAAAUAAGCUCUAAAUUCAAAUUUUUACACAAAAUCUGUUGGUUUUUAAAUGCUGGAAACUAAUUCAGAUUUUAAAAAGAAAAAAAGCAUGGUGCUGGCCGAAAGACGCAUAUCUUAAGGCUGAAUUUGGCCUGUGGGCUGCCAGUUCAUGCCUUCUAAUCUGUUUGGAUCCAAACACUUGUUAACUACUUAGCAACACUGUGUGCUCUCGAGGAAAUUACUUCACCUUUCAAGUCCCAGGUUCUUUUUUCCCCUCUAAUUUAAUUGAUUUUGAGUUUAAAUAUAGUUGAUUUACAAUGUUGUGUUAAUUUCUACUGUACAACAAAGAGAUUCAGUUAUAUAUAUAUAUAUUCUUUUUCAUACUAUUUUUCAUUGUGGUUUAUCACAGAAUAUUGAAAAGAGUUCCCUGUGCUAUACUGGAGGACCUUGUUUAUCCAUCCUAUAUGUAAUAGUUUGCAUCUGCUAUUCCCAAAUUCCCAAUCUUUCCCUCCCCCACCUGACCCCCAUUGGUAACCACAAGUCUGCUCUUUACAUUUGUGAGUCUGUUUCUGUUUUGUAAGUAUGUUCAUUUGUCUCAUAUUUUAGAUUCUACAUAUAAACAAUAUCAUACAGUA